AGCAGUAGCCGCGGUAAUACGUAGGUGGCAAGCGUUGUCCGGAAUUAUUGGGCGUAAAGGGCUCGCAGGCGGUUUCUUAAGUCUGAUGUGAAAGCCCCCGGCUCAACCGGGGAGGGUCAUUGGAAACUGGGAAACUUGAGUGCAGAAGAGGAGAGUGGAAUUCCACGUGUAGCGGUGAAAUGCGUAGAGAUGUGGAGGAACACCAGUGGCGAAGGCGACUCUCUGGUCUGUAACUGACGCUGAGGAGCGAAAGCGUGGGGAGCGAACAGGAUUAGAUACCCGCGUAGUCCCUGUCUCUUAUAA
rnacentral:rRNA from 1 species